AUUGAACGCCGGCGGCAGGCCUAACACAUGCAAGUCGGGCGGUAACAUAGGGAGCUUGCUCCUGGGUGACGAGCGGCGGACGGGUGGGUAAUGUCUGGGAAACUGCCUGAUGGAGGGGGAUAACUACUGGAAACGGUAGCUAAUACCGCAUAACGUCGCAAGACCAAAGAGGGGGACCUUCGGGCCUCUUGCCAUCAGAUGUGCCCAGAUGGGAUUAGCUAGUAGGUGGGGUAACGGCUCACCUAGGCGACGAUCCCUAGCUGGUCUGAGAGGAUGACCAGCCACACUGGAACUGCGACACGGUCCAGACGCCUACGGGAGGCAGCAGUGGGGAAUAUUGCACAAUGGGCGCAAGCCUGAUGCAGCCAUGCCGCGUGUAUGAAGAAGGCCUUCGGGUUGUAAAGUACUUUCAGCGGGGAGGAAGGUGUUGUGGUUAAUAACCACAGCAAUUGACGUUACCCGCAGAAGAAGCACCGGCUAACUCCGUGCCAGCCGCCGCGGUAACAC
rnacentral:rRNA from 1 species